rnacentral:rRNA from 1 species
CACGUAGGGGGCAAGCGUUGUCCGGAUUUAUUGGGCGUAAAGAGCUCGUAGGUGGUUCGGUAAGUCGGGUGUUAAACCCCCAGGCUCAACCUGGGGACGCCACUCGAUACUGCUGUGACUAGAGUCCGGUAGGGGAGCGUGGAAUUCCUGGUGUAGCGGUGAAAUGCGCAGAUAUCAGGAGGAACACCGGUGGCGAAGGCGGGUCUCUGGGCCGAUACUGACGCUGAGGAGCGAAAGCGUGGGGAGCGAACAGG